GGUGCACAAAAGAGAGAAAAGGCUGUACAGGAAGCUUACUCAUCUUGAACCGUGGACAAUUCUUAUUUUCUGGCUUGCUCUAGCAAUGAGUCUCUGAGCACUGUCUGUACUGAGAGGUGUAGCUCCCUCUAGCAAUGGACAGGUAGGUGCAGCACCUUGGGACCUUUCCUGAGAGAGCUCCUCUCUCUGCUGGAGCAGAAGAAACCUCUCAAGUUGCGGCUAGGAGAGAGCUGCCCUGAAUGCAACCCUGCAUAAAGAGCAGGGAAGGCAUACGAGUUACGCUGAGCAAAAAACGUGAAGCUCACCUUGCAAACAUGAUAGAGAACUGUGCAAGUAUUUGCCUGUUUGUUUGGGAAGUUUGGUGCUUAUUUGCACCCAGAGCCUCAAAGAUUUUUUCUCACUUUGGCUUUGCCUCUUCGUGAGCUCUUUCCAUCAGAAUGUGAAGCAGCAGCAGUGGAUAGCUGGAAAGGCACCAGGCUUGCCGUAGCUCUCUAGUGCAAGGCACUGUCAGAUCAAUUGAAGAGCUCUCCUGUGAAGUGUAUGUCAGAGAGCUGUGUUUUGGAAAGGGCCUCCUGUGACUCCUCGCUUUGAGAGCAGCAGUGUGGAGCUCAGCUGAGAAGUCCAAUGUGAGAUUGGUACUGCAGCAGCCGAGGCCAUUGUUUGAGCAUUAUCUUCCCCACGUUGCACAACCUGGGGAGAAAGCUGCAGAGUGCUGGCAGACUGCAGAGACUUUCUGCUCUUCAAAGCCAUUUUCUGCACAGAGCACUCCCGUUCCUGAGGGCAGUACACAAAAGUCAGAUCAAUCUGCCCUCGAAGAAGAAAGAUGCAUAUCUAUCUGGAGGACCUUUCCCUGGUGCAGUGCAGUUUAGCAGCCGUUGCAAAAACCUCCAGAAGCAGAAAUAAAUGGAAGUAUCAAUUGCAGCCUAAAACUCCUGCGUUGAACUUAUUGCUCAGUCACUGUGUUAGAAGAGAGAGGUGAAGGUUUUCUUUGUGACAAAUUGGAUGCUAGCUGUCCCUUCCAGCAAUGGAGAGAUAACAAGUCCUAAUAAAACCACUUCUCAACUUCACAGGAACAGAUUGCUGCUGCUUCCCCUACAAAAUACUUUCUUUAGCUGAUACCCUGCCCUGUCAGCAGGAGUUUUGGGAAUUGGUGGCCUCUAAGCAGAACCACCUUUGCAUCUUUUGUGAUACAGUAACACCAAACUGUUCAGAACUGCAUGCUUUCUCAUGUAAUAGGAAACUUAUUUUUUUCUCCUGUCUGGCUCCAGGCAACCAAAAUGCUUCAAUAUUUGGAAGAUAAAUGCAUUCAGAGCCAGGAGAGGCCGCCGGAGCCACAGGCUACACUGCUUCCUGCUUACUGAAAACCUGAAUGAGGAGAGAUGCUAUUGCUCCAAACUACAACUUAGAGCUUGUUAGAACAGGGAAAGCUGCCCUGUGUGGCCCCCUGCAGGGGCAAGGGGCAGGCUGGCUUAGGUGAAUGAGGCUGUAUCAGCUUCUGGGUUCACCCCAUGUCCUGUCCCAUAGGAUGAGGGAUCUUCUGUGGCUCCAGCAGCAUCAGUCACCUGCUCUUGUUCUGUCUAAGCUCCCCUAUGUCUUGGAAUGGGUCUGCCCCUUGGGAAGGAGUUUUUCAUCAGUUCCCAGGGUUUCUGCGAACGCUGCGUAAGCCUGCAUGGAAAACAUCGUGGGAUGCUCUGCUCAGGGCAUCCAGGAGGUCCAGCAGAAAAUGGUGUGGGAGGUCUGGUUGAGAUGGGUCGCCAGUGAUACGGUUGGGUUAUGUCUCACCUUUCUGUUUCAACGAUGCCUUUCCUUCCUGUUUCUGGAUGAACAUGGAGUGGCACAGGCAGAGUGCUGUGCUCAAAUGAAUCUUUGCAAAGGUAAGGGCUGGUAUAAAGGGAGGAGAGCUGCUGGAGAGCUGGAAGUCAGGAAAAUAGCUCCAGAAGCUUUGCUGUUAAUACCCAGACCUCAACACCAAGCCCACAAAAAGCAAACCUGGGCAUUUGUGAGGUAAGUACAAAAUACUGACAGCAGGAAGCCCUUCAAGUUGUUCUGGAUGCAGCUUUGCUAUUGAGGCUAUGUUUCCCUAACUGACUGUGGGGGUUAUACAAUCCUUUGGCAGGACUUCGUAGGCAGUGCUUGGAGACACAAGGGCAUUUCUUGAUCGAAAUAUGAAGGGACUUUCAGGAACAUUGACGUGAAGCUUCAAAAUCCAGGCAACAGAGCCUUUUUGCAGUGGAUACAGGACUUGUGGCCUCAUCAAAGCCAGAAGCAAGAAGUGUUUUAGGAGCAGGCCACUUACACAGCUCCUGUGGUCAUCCCAUCUCAUAAUUAAAUGAGACAAAGCUUGCAAGACUUCACAGGUAGAAGUUUGCAGCCAGGGGCAAGCUGCUGCCUCCUCAUGCUGCAUGCCAGCUUUCUGCUCUCUCUCAUCUAUCAAAGUAAUUAUGCCCGUUACGUUUCUCCUUCCAGGUUUUACCCUCCCAAAUGUUAUUCUUCUGCAUUAAACCUGCGGGGGAAGUGAAUUAUUGGGGGAAGUAACCAGGUUUAAUCCAGGUUUAAUAGGCACACAACAAAAGCACGCUGGGCUGGGAGGGUGGCCCAGCCAGCAUCCUGCUUCUGCAGGCAAACAGAAAUUUGUCAUGAUGUGUGUAUGUAUCCAGCUUUGUGAUCUGUGAGCUCUUAAUAAUUGGUUUGGUGACCUGCCACCAGUGUGCUCUCUCUGUAGAGCUUUCUCCGGUCCCUGGUUAAUACAACGGGUCACAAAUCCCAUUUGCUUUUGAAUUCUGAGUAAUCCUUUCGUUAAUGUUGCCUAGUGCUUUUUUGGAAGCAUUGAAGGAAAUUGGAGCCCUGUGCUAAUCAGUAACUCUGGCUCUGCAUGCUUGCGAGCUGUUGCCCUGGCUGGCUUUUCCAAAUGACCGGUGCAGCCUGUUUAUGUCAAACACCAACGUGUGCCUCU
ensembl:lncRNA